rnacentral:rRNA from 1 species
GAUGAACGCUGGCGGCGUGCCUAAUACAUGCAAGUCGAGCGAACGGACGAGAAGCUUGCUUCUCUGAUGUUAGCGGCGGACGGGUGAGUAACACGUGGAUAACCUACCUAUAAGACUGGGAUAACUUCGGGAAACCGGAGCUAAUACCGGAUAAUAUUUUGAACCUCAUGGUUCAAAAGUGAAAGACGGUCUUGCUGUCACUUAUUGAUGGAUCCGCGCUGCAUUAGCUAGUUGGUAAGGUAACGGCUUACCAAGGCAACGAUGCAUAGCCGACCUGAGAGGGUGAUCGGCCACACUGGAACUGAGACACGGUCCAGACUCCUACGGGAGGCAGCAGUAGGGAAUCUUCCGCAAUGGGCGAAAGCCUGACGGAGCAACGCCGCGUGAGUGAUGAAGGUCUUCGGAUCGUAAAACUCUGUUAUUAGGGAAGAACAUAUGUGUAAGUAACUGUGCACAUCUUGACGGUACCUAAUCAGAAAGCCACGGCUAACUACGUG